rnacentral:rRNA from 1 species
AGAACGAACGCUGGCGGCAUGCCUAACACAUGCAAGUCGAACGUGAUCCAGGCUUCGGCCUGGUGAAAGUGGCAGACGGGUGAGUAACGCGUGGGAACCUGCCCUGUGGUAGGGAAUAACCGUGGGAAACUGCGGCUAAUACCCUAUGAGUCCUUCGGGAGAAAGAUUUAUCGCCAUAGGAGGGGCCCGCGUCGGAUUAGGUAGUUGGUGGGGUAACGGCCUACCAAGCCUUCGAUCCGUAGCUGGUCUGAGAGGAUGAUCAGCCACACUGGGACUGAGAUACGGCCCAGACUCCUACGGGAGGCAGCAGUGGGGAAUAUUGGACAAUGGGGGCAACCCUGAUCCAGCAAUGCCGCGUGGAUGAUGAAGGCCUUCGGGUUGUAAAGUCCUUUCGGCGGGGAAGAUGAUGACGGUACCGCAGAAGAGCCCGGCUAACGUCGCGCCAGCAGCCGC